AUCUAAAUAGUUUAUAAAAAAUAUUGAUUUGUGGAAUCAAAGAUAUAAAAAUUUAUUUUAGAUA
rnacentral:tRNA from 1 species